rnacentral:rRNA from 1 species
GUUGAACGCUGGCGGCGUGCCUAAUACAUGCAAGUCGAGCGAACGGACGAGAUGCUUGCUUGUCUGAUGUUAGCGACGGACGGGUGAGUAACACGUGGAUAACCUACCUAUAAGACUGGGAUAACUUCGGGAAACCGGAUCUAAUACCGGAUAAUAUUUUGAACCGCAUGGUUCAACAGUGAAAGACGGUCUUGCUGUCACUUAUAGAUGUAUCCGCGCUGCAUUAGCUAGUUGGUAAGGUAACGGCUUACCAAGGCAACGAUGCAUAGCCGACCUGAGAGGGUGAUCGGCCACACUGGGACUGAGACACGGUCCAGACUCCUACGGGAGGCAGCAGUAGGGAAUCUUCCACAAUGGGCGAAAGCCUGAUGGAGCAACGCCGCGUGUGUGAUGAAGGUCUUCGGAUCGUAAAACUCUGUUAGUAGGAAAGAAAAGAUGUGUACGUAACUGUGCAUAUCAUGACGAUACCUGAUCAGAAAGCACCGGCUAACUACGUG